GCUAAAAUAGAGCUCAGUUGGUAGUGCAUGAGACUUUUAAUCUCAGGGUUCUGGGUUUGAGCUCCUUCUUGAGCC